rnacentral:rRNA from 1 species
GACGAACCGUGCGAACGUUAUUCGGAAUCACUGGGCUUAAAGGGCGCGUAGGCGGGCCAUCAAGUCAGAUGUGAAAGCCCCGGGCUCAACCUGGGAAUUGCAUUUGAGACUGCUCUGCUCGGGUGCGGAAGAGGGAAGCGGAAUUCCCGGUGUAGAGGUGAAAUUCGUAGAUAUCGGGAGGAACACCAGUGGCGAAGGCGGCGAUCUGGGUCGAUACUGACGCUGAGGUGCGAAAGCGUGGGGAGCAAACAGG